rnacentral:rRNA from 1 species
CUGGUCAGGAUGAACGCUAGCUACAGGCUAACACAUAGCAAGUCGCGGGGCAGCGCGUUGCAGCAAUGCGAUGGCGGCGACCGGCGCACGGGUGAGUAACGCGUAUCCGACCUGUCCCUUACUCCGGGAUAGCCCCCCGAAAGGGGGAUUAAUACGGGAUGUGCUGCUGGGGUUACAUGGUUCCGGCAGUAAAGGAGCGAUCCGGUAAGGGUUGGGGAUGCGUCCCAUUAGGAAGUUGGCGGGUAACGGCCCACCAAUCCUGCGAUGGGUAGGGGUACUGAGAGGUAGGUCCCCCACACUGGAACUGGAGACACGGUCCAGACUCCUACGGGAGGCAGCAGUGAGGAAUAUUGGUCAAUGGGCGCAGGCCUGAACCAGCCAAGUAGCGUGGAGGAGGAAUGCCCUACGGGUUGUAAACUCCUUUUCCGGGAGGGUAACGUGCGGCACGCGUGCCGUAUUGCAAGUAUCCCGGGAAUAAGCAUCGGCUAACUCCGUGCCAGCAGCAGC